rfam:Tupaia chinensis contig6385, whole genome shotgun sequence.
CACGGGCCGGGUCGAGAGCCCGGAGUAGAGCGCAUUUCAGCGGCUGGGGGGAACGCCCACGAGGCGGCGACGAAGCGGCUGGUGGAAACGCCCGGGAGGCGGCGACGGCGCAGCCUGGGACCGCCAGGCGCGCGGGGCGGGAAGCUGCCAGUUGCAGCCCGGCCCCGGACCCCAGGCUUUCCUGCCAAACCUGCGUGAAGCAGCAGUGAAGUAGUUGCAGUUUCACCAAAACACCGAACUUCUC